UACAGAGGUCUCAAGCGUUGUUCGGAUUCAUUGGGCGUAAAGGGUGCGUAGGUGGCGAGGCAAGGCAGAUGUGAAAUCCCGGGGCUCAACCCCGGAACUGCAUUUGAAACUGCCUUGCUCGAGUACUGGAGAGGAGACUGGAAUUUACGGUGUAGCAGUGAAAUGCGUAGAUAUCGUAAGGAAGACCAGUGGCGAAGGCGAGUCUCUGGACAGUUACUGACGCUGAGGCGCGAAGGCCAGGGGAGCAAACGGG
rnacentral:rRNA from 1 species